GCCGAAAUGGCGGAAUUGGUAGACGCGCUGGACUCAAAAUCCAGUGAGGCUUACACCUCGUGCCGGUUCGAGUCCGGCUUUCGGUA
rnacentral:tRNA from 1 species